CGGCCAUUAAUGACCGCUGAUGACUAUUAAAGACCGUUAAUCGUCAGUGAACCCCGGCAGUCAUCGGAGAUGCGUGUUGUUGUGGGAGCUUGCAGAGUGCUGCGGAGUGCAGAAAGCUGUGUCAGCACAUCUCCUUGAGGGGACAAUUGUGGCACUCUGAGGCUUUGUGGACAGUGUUAAACAGGGCAUGAGAAACGCCAAUGAGGUAGAAGGGGCAAAGACAGGGCACAGUUUGUCUCAUGCUACACAGCCUGACAAAAGAAAAUGAAAAGGA